rnacentral:misc_RNA from 1 species
AUAUUUUGUUUUUUUAUUUUUGGUACUCGAAAAUGUCAUUAAAUCCUAAAUUAUUUGUUCAUGGAAUGCCAGUUCCAUUUAUCGAUGAAUUGUUUGUCUUAGCUAGCGAUGGAAUUGAAUUUCAGAUCGAUAACAUUCCUAGUUUAGGUGAAGUACAAGCAAAAGGAACCAUUUACUUAUCGAAUAUCCGGAUGGUCUUUGUUGCAAAGAAUCCUACGAACAACUUCAAUGCUUUUGACA